UACAGAGGGUGCAAGCGUUGUUCGGAAUUAUUGGGCGUAAAGCGCGUGUAGGCGGCCUUGCAAGUCGGGUGUGAAAGCCCUCAGCUCAACUGGGGAGGGUCACGCGAUACUGCUCGACUCGAAGGCAGGAGAGGGAAGUGGAAUUCCUGGUGUAGCGGUGAAAUGCGCAGAUAUCUGGAGGAACACCGGUGGCGAAGGCGGCGUUCUGGACUGUUACUGACACUGAGGAACGAAAGCCAGGGGAGCAAACGGG
rnacentral:rRNA from 1 species